CACCAAGUCUCUUGACCUGGUCUACCACAGCACACAAGUGCUUGCCCACUUAAAGUAAACAAGUGCUUUCCAACGGUCCCUGUCCAAGGCAAACACCAUCUAUGGAGGAGGAGACCUAGGACCUCCAUUUGGAUGAGGAAUUCCUGAAUGUAAUUGACUGGACUUUUAACAGAGUUUUGAUGAAAAGAACCAAUAACAUUUGAAAAUUUGGUGAAAAGAACCAGAAAACAUUUGAAAAUCUGUAUUAAUACAGAAGCACCACAUCUGCCUGCAUGCCCCUGUGCUUCCUGUCAUGAUGAUAAUGGACUGAACCUCUGAACUCAAAGGCCUGGCUUCCAUGGCUUGCAUCUGACUCAAGUUUCUACACCGCAGUGCUCAGAGCCACCCGUCUUCAGCCUGUCUCCACUUGACACACACAGAAUUUCCUGUCGCUGUAGCCUGAGAACAGUUUGGGUCUGUUUGCCAUGGCUUACUAUCUGAGAAGUCCUGGGCUUAAGGCAGUGAAGGAGGCCAGGUCUCUCUUUGAACUUGAAGCUCUGCUAGACUGACUUGUGAAAGCCUCAAGGAUCCUCCUGACCCAGCAUCCCCUAUACUGAGAUUA
rnacentral:lncRNA from 1 species